rnacentral:lncRNA from 1 species
UAUAUGAUGUAUCUAAAAGAGCGACUUGGGAGGGAAUACCCCUAAAUACCUUGUCUUGUGUGCAAGCCACCCAAGGUCAUUCAAUUCACUUAACGGAAAAUGUGGUGAGUGAGCAACUUUUUUUGAUAAUCCUCAUCCUGGCAAAAGCUAGCGAUGGUAUGCAGCCUAAUAUGACACCUCUUAAAAUGGCUGAAGCCUCGUAUAUUGGAGAGUGGCUCUAUUAUCUAUGAAUUCUGAGUCACCUCAUGAAAGUUGCUCAAUAAUAACGCUUCUCCUUGCUUGAGACGGUUUCAUAUAAGGAAUAUCCACACAAUCAUCCUUAUUAUGUUUGAAGCAGGUGCUGUUUGACUCUGGAGGAACUGCAGAGGAGCUCAUGUCAACGUUAUCAAUGGAGACUCUAUUUACACCCACCUGUAAUCAAAGGCACGUGCAAACUUAUGCUGUAGAUUAAAUGGUUGCCAUGGCUGGCAUGAAUUUGUGACUUCUCUAAGCAGAUUAGACCAGCACUGGAUUCCCAUGCACUGUAGGUACAAACAUACUAAGGAAGACUAAACAUUGGUCCUCACUUUUCAAUGUGCUAAUUCCAAUGCCCCUAAUCAAGGCAAGAUUUGCUCGGCGCUUUCUAUCAUUUGUUAGAAUUUGAUAUCAGUAUUUCGGAAAGUAAGAUAAUAUAUUCUUAGGGAUUAAAAUAAAACUAAACAUACUCAGAAUACAUACUAAUAACCUCUCUUAGCUCUGCUUUAGAGUGUAUAUCAUUUCUCUACGUUAUCCAUUUUUUCAGAGUAUACAAGAUCUUAACAACAUGAUGUGCUACUACAAAAGCAAGCUCCUGCAAUAGGACCUGAUUGUGGAUUGCAAUACUAAUAUCAUCUACUGCAUGUUUGUCCAUGACAGAUUCUUAAAAGAUGUGAAUAUCUUUAAUCUAAAGAUUAUAAAUUGUAAAAAGUUAAAAACAUAAAUAUGUUUUUGGCUGUAACAACAUAACAAAGAAAUUUAGAAUGUAAGUUUCUUGUCAAAAUAAUUUCCUAGAUCUUAAAAAGUUAGUUAUAAUAAAUUUUAGAACAGUAAAUCCAUUUUCUUUAUAUGUAAUUGUGGAAACAUUAUCAUAAAAUAGUAAUACAAGGUUAAGAUUACAAUCUAGUAGUUUUUUAUUGUUAUUUAUUAAGGCUUAUAUAAAAACACAUGCAAAAAUAUUUAUUGACAUUGAUCCAUCAAUUUUACCAAAUACUAAUAAUUUAAAUUAAAAUUCACAUUAUAUUAUAUAUUUUAUUUUUCAUAUAUAAAAUAUAAAAUAUAAAAUUUGAACAAAAUCUAAAAACUAUUCACAAAUUUAAUUUUUUUUUACAAUGGACUGUAAAGUUUUUUUUAAUCUAAAUUAAAAGAUAAUUCAGUUUCUACAAUAGAAAUAUUCGACUAAAAAAUUAAAUAAAAUUUAUCAAUAAACCAUGAUAAUUACUUUUUAUAGCAUUAAUCAAAAACUUGAAAGUCUAGUCAUCUUUUAAGAACCAA